rnacentral:rRNA from 1 species
AUGUCUUGCAGCUGUGGAUCAAGCUGCGGCUGCGGCUCAAACUGCAACUGCGGCAAGAUGUACCCUGACUUGGAGGGGAAGAGCAGCGCCACCGUGCAGGCCACCGUGGUCGUCCUCCACGUCGGGCCCACGAAGGUGCAGUUCGAGGAGGCCGCCGAGUCCGGUGAGGCCGGCCACGGCUGCAGCUGCGGUGCCAGCUGCAAGUGCAACCCUUGCAACUGCUAA